AUUGAACGCUGGCGGCAGGCCUAACACAUGCAAGUCGAGCGGAUGAAGGGAGCUUGCUCCUGGAUUCAGCGGCGGACGGGUGAGUAAUGCCUAGGAAUCUGCCUGGUAGUGGGGGACAACGUUUCGAAAGGAACGCUAAUACCGCAUACGUCCUACGGGAGAAAGCAGGGGACCUUCGGGCCCUGCGCUAUCAGAUGAUCCUAGGUCGGAUUAGCUAGUGGGUGAGGUAAUGGCUCACCAAGGCGACGAUCCGUAACUGGUCUGAGAGGAUGAUCAGUCACACUGGAACUGAGACACGGUCCAGACUCAUACGGGAGGCAGCAGUGGGGAAUAUUGGACAAUGGGCGAAAGCCUGAUCCAGCCAUGCCGCGUGUGUGAAGAAGGUCUUCGGAUUGUAAAGCACUUUAAGUUGGGAGGAAGGGUUGUAGAUUAAUACUCUGCAAUUUUGACGUUACCGACAGAAUAAGCACCGGCUAACUCUGUGCCAGCAGCCGCGGUAAUAC
rnacentral:rRNA from 1 species